GUGGGUGGCGAGUGGGGAGGGACGUAAUGCAUCGUGACCUACCAGACGUGGGGGAAAAGAAGGCAAACUUACGCUAUUACCGCAUACGUCCUACGGGGUUUGGGUUGGGAUCGCAAGACCUCGCGCGGUUGGAAGGGGCGAUGUGCGAUUAGCUUGUUGGUGAGGUAACGGCUCACCAAGGCGACGAUCGCUAGCUGGUCUGAGAGGAUGAUCAGCCACACUGGGACUGAGACACGGCCCAGACUCCUACGGGAGGCAGCAGUGGGGAAUAUUGGACAAUGGGCGCAAGCCUGAUCCAGCAAUGCCGCGUGUGUGAAGAAGGCCCUCGGGUUGUAAAGCACUUUUAUCAGGAGCGAAAUCUGCAAGGUUAAUACCUUUGCAGUCUGACGGUACCUGAGGAAUAAGCACCGGCUAACUCCGUGCCAGCAGCCGCGGUAAUACGGAGGGUGCCAGCCUUAAUCGGAAUUACUGGGCGUAAAGCGUGCGUAGGCGGUUCGUUAAGUCUGCUGUGAAAGCCCCGGGCUCAACCUGGGAAUGGCAGUGGAUACUGGCGAGCUAGAGUGUGUCAGAGGAUGGUGGAAUUCCCGGUGUAGCGGUGAAAUGCGUAAGAGAUCGGGGAGGAACAUCAGUGGCGAAGGCUGGCCAUCUGGGACAACACUGACGCUGAGGCACGUAAGCCGUGGGGAGCAAACAGGGAUUUAGAAUACCCUUGGUA
rnacentral:rRNA from 1 species